rnacentral:tRNA from 1 species
GGGAUAUAGCUUGGUGGUAGAGGGCUUGCCUAACAUGUGAGAGGCCCUGGGUUCAAUCUCCAGUAUCAUCA